AGAGUUUGAUCCUGGCUCAGAGUGAACGCUGGCGGCGUGCCUAAUACAUGCAAGUCGAACGAUGAAGCUUCUAGCUUGCUAGAGUGCUGAUUAGUGGCGCACGGGUGAGUAACGCAUAGGUUAUGUGCCUCUUAGUUUGGGAUAGCCAUUGGAAACGAUGAUUAAUACCAGAUACUCCCUACGGGGGAAAGAUUUAUCGCUAAGAGAUCAGCCUAUGUCCUAUCAGCUUGUUGGUAAGGUAAUGGCUUACCAAGGCUAUGACGGGUAUCCGGCCUGAGAGGGUGAACGGACACACUGGAACUGAGACACGGUCCAGACUCCUACGGGAGGCAGCAGUAGGGAAUAUUGCUCAAUGGGGGAAACCCUGAAGCAGCAACGCCGCGUGGAGGAUGAAGGUUUUAGGAUUGUAAACUCCUUUUGUUAGAGAAGAUAAUGACGGUAUCUAACGAAUAAGCACCGGCUAACUCCGUGCCAGCAGCCGCGGUAAUACGGAGGGUGCAAGCGUUACUCGGAAUCACUGGGCGUAAAGAGCGCGUAGGCGGGAUAGUCAGUCAGGUGUGAAAUCCUAUGGCUUAACCAUAGAACUGCAUUUGAAACUACUAUUCUAGAGUGUGGGAGAGGUAGGUGGAAUUCUUGGUGUAGGGGUAAAAUCCGUAGAGAUCAAGAGGAAUACUCAUUGCGAAGGCGACCUGCUGGAACAUUACUGACGCUGAUUGCGCGAAAGCGUGGGGAGCAAACAGGAUUAGAUACCCUGGUAGUCCACGCCCUAAACGAUGGAUGCUAGUUGUUGGAGGGCUUAGUCUCUCCAGUAAUGCAGCUAACGCAUUAAGCAUCCCGCCUGGGGAGUACGGUCGCAAGAUUAAAACUCAAAGGAAUAGACGGGGACCCGCACAAGCGGUGGAGCAUGUGGUUUAAUUCGAAGAUACACGAAGAACCUUACCUAGGCUUGACAUUGAGAGAAUCCGCUAGAAAUAGUGGAGUGUCUGGCUUGCUAGACCUUGAAAACAGGUGCUGCACGGCUGUCGUCAGCUCGUGUCGUGAGAUGUUGGGUUAAGUCCCGCAACGAGCGCAACCCCCUUUCUUAGUUGCUAACAGGUCAUGCUGAGAACUCUAAGGAUACUGCCUCCGUAAGGAGGAGGAAGGUGGGGACGACGUCAAGUCAUCAUGGCCCUUACGCCUAGGGCUACACACGUGCUACAAUGGGGUGCACAAAGAGAAGCAAUACUGCGAAGUGGAGCCAAUCUUCAAAACACCUCUCAGUUCGGAUUGUAGGCUGCAACUCGCCUGCAUGAAGCUGGAAUCGCUAGUAAUCGCAAAUCAGCCAUGUUGCGGUGAAUACGUUCCCGGGUCUUGUACUCACCGCCCGUCACACCAUGGGAGUUGUGUUUGCCUUAAGUCAGGAUGCUAAAUUAGCUACUGCCCACGGCACACACAGCGACUGGGGUGAAGUCGUAACAAGGUAACCGUAGGUGAACCUGCGGUUGGAUCACCU
rnacentral:rRNA from 1 species